rnacentral:rRNA from 1 species
GACGAACCGUGCGAACGUUAUUCGGAAUCAUUGGGCGUAAGAGCUCGUAGGCGGCUAAGUAAGUCAGGUGUGAAACCUCCAGCUCAACCUGGAGACGCCACUUGAUACUGCUUUGGCUUGAGUUCGGUAGGGGUAAGCGGAAUUCCUGGUGUAGCGGUGAAAUGCGCAGAUAUCAGGAGGAACACCUAUUGCGAAGGCAGCUCGCUGGGACGUAACUGACGCUGAGACGCGAAAGCGUGGGAGCAAACAGG